GCAUUAGGGGUUCAGUGGUAGAAUUCUCACUUUCCAUGCAGGAGACCCAGGGUUGAUUUCUGGCUAAUGCA
rnacentral:tRNA from 1 species